UACAUGUUUGCAUUUCCUGCUGUGCCUUGAAAUGUCCUGCAACAACAGGGUGAUCAAGUUAAGAUCCUACAUCUGCGUGUGGCUACACAUAGUGGCUGUCCUCCUUAGUGGUGCUCAGAUUCAGUUAAUGCUCCUCUGGUCUCUAUUGGCAGAAUACUCACUUGAGAUAAGGGCACACAACUCAGACUUCCAAAAAAACAUUGUUGUUGAUAAAGUUUUUAUUUGUGCAUUUUCUCAAAUUCAGACAAGGCCCAAAGUGUACUGGUUUUAAUUCUACUUUUACAUCAGCUAUUGAUUAAGACAUAGGAAACCAGGUGAGGUGACUUCAAUCAUCAGCUUUAAUUGAUCAACUGACCAGUAAUUUGCCAAGGAUGAAUGAAAACCAGCAGACACUGCAGCCCUGGGGGACAGGAGUUUAAUAUGUUCUGAAGCUGAGUGAAUUCUGCACCUUCACCAUUAUUUUCUCUGUUAUUUUAUAGUUAUUGCAGAAUCAAUUGGCUAGUCCUGUUCUAUAUUGGUAACAUGGGCUAUGUCAUAAGACAAAGAAGACCAUGCCUGUCUUGCAUCUUAAUGUUUGCAGUUCACACAUUCACACUUGAUUAUGAACUCAACUAGUUGUUCACAUUUCCUCUGAAAGAUUGUCUGAAUCAAAAAGUAAAUUUUCCAGUUUUAAUAACAUUAGCAAAAACCCUUAUUCUUGACACUGGUUGGCCACAGUUUUGCCACAAACAAACGGAUGUUGUUUUAUUACUUACAAAUAUCAACGUAAUCUUGUAGUGGGGAGCAUGCACAUGGUUAAUUAGGUAACAGUCUGUAGUCAGGGCCAGGAUGUUUUUGAUGACCACAUGACCUGACUUGAAAGAACUCUUAACCAAGGCCCAAGGUUUUUCCUAGUCAGGUGGCGUGGGUGACAGAAACAUGCGCCGAACACAACAGGUGUAGACCUUACAGUGAAAUGCUUACUUACAAGCCCUUAACCAAGAAUGCAGUUUUAAGAAAAAUAAGUGUUAAGUAAAAAAUAAGAUAAAUAAAAAUUAAAGAGCAGUAUACUGUAUGCCAUUCAUGUCAUCCUUAUCACUGUUUUUCAUUGGAGGAAGUGGUUGGCUUCCUUCCUGAUAAUGAAUACUGCUGUCCACUGUACCUGAAAACUGUUGGCCUUCUCUACUUAUUUUCAGAUUCCUCUUAAUCUCUUCUAAAAGUUUAUAUGUAGAAAAGUUAUUGACAAUAUCACCCCAUCUUUUCCUUUUUUGUAAUUGAUGUGUCCAUACUGUGUGUGUUUAGUAGAAUGGGUGUGUGUGGACCUGCCUUGGACUAGGCUUGUCUUGUCCUGCACCUUCCAAAUCAAUCCCUGAAUAUUAUCCCCUUGGCACUUCUGUAAACCUGAAAGGAUUUGAUAGGUAUAUCAGAGGGCAAGAUGGAGCUAUUACCAAAUUGUGCAUACUGUACCUAUCUGAUCCUUUAAGAUGCACUUGAAAUGUCCAGGGGUUGUUUGGAAUUGAGCAUGUACUGUACCUUGUUUUUGAGAGUGGGGAUGGGAAAACAGGUGCUUGAGUUGUGAAUGUAUUUUGUUUGUUUUUCCCCUCUUUGUUUACUUGACACUUAGGACAAGUAAACAAAGAGUUGAUUUGCCACAUGCGCCGAAUACAACAGUGAAAUGCUUACUUACAAACCCUUAACCAACAAGUGCUUCAAAAAGGGAAAACACAAAAUUAUAACUAAGUGAAAUAAAAGUAAGAUUUGUCCCAAUUUACUUUUUGCUCUGGUGUUCAUGUUUUACUAACAUGCAAAAUUUAGGGGAUAACUUUUGUGACCGAAUGGGCAACAUUUAGGAAAGGAACCCACAAUCAUAAUACCAUAAUAUUUAACAGGAGGAUAAUGACACAUUUUUACAAGCAGUUCCUCUCAAACUGUGAUGAAAUGAUGAGAUAAGGGUAUUUCACCAGGGUUGGGGUUAUAUUAAUUCCAGUACAAUUCCUGUCAACUGUUAAAGCAGCCAUGGCAUUUCUCCAUAGGAAUGCAUUUCAAUGCCUGAAUUGGCUGGAAUGAAGGUGGAAACCCCAACCCUGCCUGAUUUCCACUAUUCUGCUGUAGGUUUUUCUGAGCAAUGGUUUGUUGCUCUAUACUAACUGAGCCAGUGGAGAGGGUUUUCUCUCCUUCCCUGGCAGGUCUGUGUUAUCCUUACUGUUGCCUUGACUCUAGCUCACUGGACCUGGGCCAGACUACUGGAGGUCCCACUGGGCCUGGGUUAGACUACUGGAGGCCCCACUGGGCCUGGGCCAGACUACUGGAGGUCCCACUGGGUCUGGGCCAGACUACUGGAGGUCCCACUGGGCCUGGGCCAGACUACUGGAGGUCCCACUGGGCCUGGGCCAGACUACUGGAGUUCCCACUGGGCCUGGGCCAGACUACUGGAGGCCCACUCGAAUGUUUGUACAUCUUUUUCUGGGACAAUGUAAUUAAUAAUAAAAAAUACUGAUAACAAUUA